CUACUUAACUGGCAGGGGAGAUAUCAUGAUCACAAAGGUGAUUUUCCCAGGGUGAGGCUUAUCCAUUGCACUCUGAAUGUGCUCACCCCUGUGAUUUCCCCAAAUGUGGGAAACUCGACGGCAUAAUUUGUGGUAGUGGGGGACUGCGUUUGUGCUUUCCCCUG
rnacentral:snRNA from 1 species